UGAAUGAAAUAGAAUCAGCGAGGUGCCUUUUCCAGUCUUGAGAAACUGGCUGCUAUAAUUUACUACAACCACCAGAUGUCACUGUUGUCCGUGCUCCAAAGUAGUGGCUCUUCAGCGUCGUAAGGAAGAAGCCCAAAAAGUCUUCACAAGGCUUCGUCUGCACGUCGCCACUGGAAACGUGAAACCAAAAAACGGACAAAAAGCAUGGGUUUCAGUACUGAAGGCGGAGUGAGUGGAAACCGGGGCUGCCUCCAGAAAGCCUAACAGGAGAGGGGCAGCAGGAAAAGUACUUGGAUGAAGCCAGAUUCAAGUGAGUUGGAAGUGUCCUGCAGUUCUGCUCUGGAAGUGUGAGAUGGCAUCCAGUUGGUGAUUCUGGGAGCUGUAGUGUUCGGAGGAUAGAGCAGUUUUGACAACAGUCCUGAAGGUUUCUUGAGAGUUGCAGAUGACAUCACUGUAGUGGGUCUCACCAGAGACAGUGAUGAGUCGGCCCAUCCUGAGGAGGUGGAAUGUCCCACAGAAUGGGGUGCAGACAGCAGCUGAGUUGAGCACUCCCUAUAUGGUGGACAUGUGCAUUGACAUCCGCAAAGGGGUCUUCAGUGUAAAGCUGCAAAGGACGAGUUACAUCACAUUUCUUGCUUACAUACGUCCAGACAAAACUAAGAGCAAAAUGUGAAACUGCCCCAAGUGGAAUGAGCAGUUGGUGUCUGCAAAAAGUUGAUGAUGUCCUACUGAUCAAAUCCAGUAAUCCAACCACCUGCCCACUGAAUCCCAUCCCAUCCACUUGCUCCAGGCAAUCGCCAUGAGUCUACUGCCCUUCAUCACUAUUGUCAUAAACAACUCCUUGUCAUCACGUCAAGUUCCAUCAGCUUUCAAGACUGCAAGAGUGGUUCCCAUGCUGAAGCAGCCCAUGCUUGACAGCUCUGAUGUCAACAACUACAGACCAGUAUCAUUUCUUUCUUUCCUUUCAAAAAUUCUUGAAUGUGCAGUCUAUAACCAACUGUCUCUUUUUCUCACUCAGAACCAGCACCAGGACCCCAACCAGUCUGGCUUCAAAACCAGCGCACUCAACUGAAACUGCCCUUAUAGUAGUGACUAAGAAGCUCCAGGCAGCAAGAUCAACCAAACUGUCAUCAGUUCUGAUUCUUCUUGACCUCUCAACAGCUUCAGACACAAUCACCAUACAAUCCUUCUGGAUGUCCUCAUUAACAUUAGAAUCACUGGCGCUGCGUGGAAGCUGUUCAAAUCCUAUCUGGAGGGUUGCUCUUAUCAGGUAGAUCCUCCUCUCCAUGCAGGCUCUCCACUGGUGUCCCACAAGGCAUGGAGCUGCAUCCUCUUCUCUUUUCACUUUACACUCGUUCUCCUGGUGAUAUGAGAUCCUCUCAUGGUUUUUCUUAUCACUGCUAUGCUGAAGACUCGAUGCUUUCCUUCACACCUUCUGACAGUUAUCCAGUUAUCCUUCCCAGCUCAUAUUCCAACCUGACUCGCUCAUACAGGCUCAUACUGGAUGUACAACAUCCAUUUCUCUGCACAUCUCUUUUAUCUUCACAUCAUUUUCUUCUACAUGUCUCCUCUCUAAUGCUCUGCUAAGUGGAACAUUAUAUCUACUGUGUUUAUAUAUUAUAUAAGCUCAACAGUCAUUCGAACUCUUCUUCCCUAAAACCAAACACAAACAAUAUUUUAAAUAUACAAGAUCAGUCUGCAGCCCGAUGGGGCCCAAAACAUCAGGAAAUCAUUUCUUUCUAACAUCAGGCUUGGGUUGGGCUGGUUUUCAAAUAUUUUUUUCAAGUACACUAAAAGCAGUUAAGGUUAAAAAAGUAAAUAACUUGGCUGCCUUAAUUUUUUAAUUUCAUUGUACUUCAUUGUAAUAAUACGUUAACAGAAUGUAAUACACAUUGUGCUGUUGGCUCAUAGUAUUUUUUUCCUAUGUUAAAGGCAGCCAAUAGGGCACAUCCUUUUCAUUUUCACUAUUUUAGUGAUUUUAAAUUAACAGUGAAUUUGGACUUACAGUUUGCUUACAUUUGUAAGUUGAAGUGAUAACUGUUUUAAAGUGCCGUAGAUUUGCCUUUUAACACAGAUUAUGUCUGUCUUUUUUGAUUAUGUGAAUCUUUUUUGUGCACUGAGGUAUUUUUUUGCGUGCUUUCUUUCACUUUCUGUCAUGAUUUGUUCUGUCAUGAAGUGAAAAUGAAAGGAUGUCCUACUGGCUGCCUUUUACAUAGGAAAAAAUUACUAUGUGCCCUCUACAGUGCCUCUUCAUGCAAAAAAUUAUAAAGUGCCCUCUAGAGCAGGAAAACUUGAUAACAUAUGGUAUUCGCCAUUCUAGUGGAGAAAACGUGAUGCAGUGCCCUGUAAGAUCCCCUUGCAAUGGUAAAGGGUGUAUUUAUGAAGUGCCUUCUAUUCCUACAUAAAAGUGUCCCAAAGAGUGUCCUUUCAGAAGAGAAACUGAUACAGUACUGUAAAGGGUACGGCUACAAGUUAGAAAACAUGAGGAAGUGCCCCUCCUGUAGAUAAUGCAGUGCUGUAAAGUGUUAAAUGCCCCUCCAGCGGCCUCCUAAACUACCUUCAAAAGUGGAUAACCUUGAUGCUUCCAGCUGGUGCCUUUCUGAUGAAACAGAAGUGAAAAAGUGCCUUACAUGGCCUUUCAACGCUCCCUUUGAGCAAGUUUUUAAUGUAAUCUCAUCUACACUAUCCCUGUUUUUUAGUUUUCAAAGCCCUCUUUAUUUUAGAUUAGAAAUUUUUUAACUGUAUUUGAUAGUAAAAGACAUGGUAAACUGAAGCCAACAAUGACACAAAGUUUAAAAUAUUCUUCUUGUUAAAAGGGCCACACCCUCUCUAGAAUGUUCAGACGUCAAAGGUGGCUUAAUACAGUCUGAGCUGUAACCCUGACAUCCUACUACAGUUGAGGAGGGUUUUUUUUUUUUUUUACCAAUGACGUGUUACUAAAUACUAAUCUUUGCUGUCAGAACAAAACCUUGUAUCUCCAAAACUGUAACUUUACAGUAGAAGAAAAAACCUACUUUACUUUUAACCUAAGUCAGUGGAACCAGACAUUUAUCCACAUAAUUUUAGGCUGUUUGCUUUUGUCCAUUCUUCAUGAAAUUUACACACGAUGUAAAGAGCAACAGGCAUUAUCAAAUUAUGUCAAAAACUGAAAAAUGUCAGAAGUGUGAUACAAGGUUUUGAUCCAAAAGCAGCGUAAUGUUUGUACACUGCCUGUGCUUUGAUAGACAGCUGAAUGACAGUUUUUAGCCUAGGUGUCUAGAUAAGGUGCUAGCUAACUAAACAGGCAUCACUAACACUUUAUUUGAAGUGUGUCGACAUAACACAUUCUUAACAUCUUACUCAAACACUUCAAAACAUUCAAAAAUCAACAUUCCUUUAUGGUUUAAAUUAUAUUAAUAUGGGCACUGUUAAUAUGAUAGCACUGUUAUCCCAAAUACUGUAGAGGUGUUAUUUUUAUUGAUGUUCUUCUUCACUUAUGGUAUCCGAGAAUGCACAAGUAUAAUUGUGUGAUUUUUACCAUUUUUUUAUUUAUUGAGUUCUCUUGUUUAACCCUUUAAGGCACACAGACGUUCUUUCAGAAUGUCAGAUUUAUUGAUGUGAACAAGUUACAAACCAUUAAACUUAAACAGAUUUGGAGUGAAAUUUUUUAGGUUCAAGGUGAAAGUUCAUUUCUGAGGUGGUUUCUCUGAGUAACCAUUGUGCAUUCAGUGAUGCAGACUACAUCAUUCUUAGUUUCGUCUGCCAUCCAUCCAUCCCCACUCAGGGUGCUGAUCACUUUGUAUUAAAUGUGCUUUGUAAAUUUGUCUUUCUUGGCUUUUAUUAUGAAAGUGACGAAGCCACAUUAAUUUGAUUGAAAUGCAUGUUUUUUGGUCUUCAAA